AUUGAACGCUGGCGGCAGGCCUAACACAUGCAAGUCGAGCGGAUGAAGGGAGCUUGCUCCUGGAUUCAGCGGCGGACGGGUGAGUAAUGCCUAGGAAUCUGCCUGGUAGUGGAGGAUAACGUCCGGAAACGGGCGCUAAUACCGCAUACGUCCUGAGGGAGAAAGUGGGGGAUCUUCGGACCUCACGCUAUCAGAUGAGCCUAGGUCGGAUUAGCUAGUUGGUGGGGUAAAGGCCUACCAAGGCGACGAUCCGUAACUGGUCCGAGAGGAUGAUCAGUCACACUGGAACUGAGACACGGUCCAGACUCCUACGGGAGGCAGCAGUGGGGAAUAUUGGACAAUGGGCGAAAGCCUGAUCCAGCCAUGCCGCGUGUGUGAAGAAGGUCUUCGGAUUGUAAAGCACUUUAAGUUGGGAGGAAGGGCAGUAAGUUAAUACCUUGCUGUUUUGACGUUACCAACAGAAUAAGCACCGGCUAACUUCGUG
rnacentral:rRNA from 1 species